GACGAACGCUGGCGGCGUGCUUAACACAUGCAAGUUGAACGGUAAGGCUCUUCGGGGUACACGAGUGGCGAACGGGUGAGUAACACGUGGGUGAUCUGCCCUGCACUUCGGGAUAAGCCUGGGAAACUGGGUCUAAUACCGGAUAGGACCACUGCCUGCAUGGGUGGUGUGGAAAGCUUUUGCGGUGUGGGAUGGGCCCGCGGCCUAUCAGCUUGUUGGUGGGGUAAUGGCCUACCAAGGCGACGACGGGUAGCCGGCCUGAGAGGGUGACCGGUCACACUGGGACUGAGAUACGGCCCAGACUCCUACGGGAGGCAGCAGUGGGGAAUAUUGCACAAUGGGCGCAAGCCUGAUGCAGCGACGCCGCGUGAGGGAUGACGGCCUUCGGGUUGUAAGCCUCUUUCAGCUAUGACGAAGCGCAAGUGACGGUAGUAGCAGAAGAAGGACCGGCCAACUACGUGCCAGCCGCCGCAGUAA
rnacentral:rRNA from 1 species